rnacentral:rRNA from 1 species
GGCAACCUGCCUGUAAGACUGGGAUAACUUCGGGAAACCGGAGCUAAUACCGGAUAAUCCUUUCCCUCUCAUGAGGGAAAGCUGAAAGUCGGUUUCGGCUGACACUUACAGAUGGGCCCGCGGCGCAUUAGCUAGUUGGUGAGGUAACGGCUCACCAAGGCGACGAUGCGUAGCCGACCUGAGAGGGUGAUCGGCCACACUGGGACUGAGACACGGCCCAGACUCCUACGGGAGGCAGCAGUAGGGAAUCUUCCGCAAUGGACGAAAGUCUGACGGAGCAACGCCGCGUGAGCGAUGAAGGCCUUCGGGUCGUAAAGCUCUGUUGUUAGGGAAGAACAAGUAUCGGAGUAACUGCCGGUACCUUGACGGUACCUAACCAGAAAGCCACGGCUAACUACGUGCCAGCAGCCGCGGUAAUACGUAGGUGGCAAGCGUUGUCCGGAAUUAUUGGGCGUAAAGCGCGCGCAGGCGGUCCUUUAAGUCUGAUGUGAAAGCCCACGGCUCAACCGUGGAGGGUCAUUGGAAACUGGGGGACUUGAGUGCAGAAGAGGAAAGCGGAAUUCCACGUGUAGCGGUGAAAUGCGUAGAGAUGUGGA